rnacentral:rRNA from 1 species
UGGGGAAUUUUGGACAAUGGGCGCAAGCCUGAUCCAGCCAUGCCGCGUGCGGGAAGAAGGCCUUCGGGUUGUAAACCGCUUUUGGCAGGAACGAAACGGCGCGGGUGAAUAUCCCGCGCUAAUGACGGUACCUGCCGAAUACGCACCGGCUAACUACGUGCCAGCAGCCGCGGUAAUCCGUAGGGUGCAAGCGUUAAUCGGAAUUACUGGGCGUAAAGCGUACGCAGGCGGCUUUGCAAGACAGGUGUGAAAUCCCCGGGCCUAACCUGGGAACUGCAUUUGUGACUGCAUGGCUAGAGUUUGUCAGAGGGGGGUGGAAUUCCACGUGUAGCAGUGAAAUGCGUAGAGAUGUGGAAGAACACCGAUGGCGAAGGCAGCCCCCUGGGAUGAGACUGACGCUCAUGUACGAAAGCGUGGGGAGCAAAC